rnacentral:rRNA from 1 species
GUCUUUUUGAGAAUAAUUUAAAGUCAAAUCUGCCCACUGAAUUAAUUUUAAAGGGCUGCAGUAUAUUGACUGUACAAAGGUAGCAUAAUCAUUAGUCUUUUAAUUGAAGACUUGUAUGAAUGAUUUGAUGAGAUAUAAACUGUCUCUUUAUUAAGUAUAGAAUUUAAUUUUUUAGUUAAAAAGCUAAAAUUUAUAUAAAAGACGAGAAGACCCUAUAGAGUUUAAUAUUUGAUUAAAAUUUAAUUUUAUAUAAAUUUUUAAAUUAAAUUUUAAUCAAAUAUUUUAUUGGGGUGAUAGAAAAAUUUAAGAAACUUUUUUUAAAAAUUUAACAUUAAUUUAUGAAUUUAUGAUCCAUAAUUUAUGAUUAUAAGAAUAAAUUACCUUAGGGAUAACAGCGUAAUUUUUUUUUUUAGUUCAAAUAAAAAUUAAAGUUUGCGACCUCGAUGUUGGAUUAAGAUAAAAUUUAAAUGCAAAAGUUUAAAAUUUUGAUCUGUUCGAUCAUUAAAAUCUAAC